AGUUUCAGAGCUUCUUGUUCUCACCUUCAUGCUGUGGCAAUGCUGACAAAAGAAAACUGCAGCCUCUGAGAACCAGUGUUCUGGAGACUGAGACAUCCAAGGUUGGCGGGGGGCACAUCUGGUGAGAGAGAGCCUUCUUGCUGGUGGGGACUCUGAAGUGCCCCACAGGGUAUCCCAUGGAGAGGGAGCUGAGGGUGCUCCCAUGUGCCCACUUAGCACUCUCUUCCUCUUCUUAUAAGCCACCAGUUCCCUUCCCAUGAUAACUCAUUAAUCCAUUAACCCAUUAAUUGAAGAAUGGAUUAAUCCAUCCAUGAAGGCCAAGCCCUCAUAACCAAUCACCUCGUAAAGGCCCACCUCUCAAUACUGCCACAUUGGGGAUUAAGUUUCAACAUGAGUUUUGGAGAGGACAUUCAAACCACAGUACUAAGCCAAUGCUUCUUCCUCUACAGGGAAACUGGGAAACUGACACUUCCUGCCUUAUAUUGUUGCAGUUGCAAAGAUCAAAUACCAAGGUUAUGGGAAGAUGUUUUGAAGCCCCAUAUAAAUAUGUAAUUUAAUUUAUUCCAAUAAAGACUCAUUGCACAGGCUGGGCA